rnacentral:lncRNA from 1 species
GAAUUCAUUACUACUCUAGAGUCAACCACUGACCUAGAGCUGACCACCGACCUAGAGUCAACCACUGCCCUAGAGUUGACCAUUGACGUGUAUUUGGAGAACACACAGGCUUUGAAUUGUCUAUUGAUGUGGAAUCAAACACCCUCAGCUUUGUGGGGGAAGCCACUCAGGCCACAGCUGAUUACAAUUCAAUCCACACAGAGAGCCUUCUUAGUGAUGAUUAUGCAGAUGUCAUUCUGCUUAUUCCCAGGAGGUCAUGGCUGGAGCACCAGACAAGCCCAGCACUCCCAUGGGAAGCAAUGAGUCUCUCACAGUACUUGUUUAAAAUGAAGCAAAUUCUCCAUUAGCUGUUACCAUUACUCUGCUACCCACGACUUUCUAAGAAGAUUCUGAGCUUCUGAACGAGCCUACCAUUACAUUAUAGGACACUGAGCUAAUUGUGAAAGACUAGUGAGAAGAAGAUGUGCCCAGCUGAGACUAAAGAGCAGAGUGGAUGAAACUGUACACACAGAAAGGGGGUCAUAACCAUGUCCCAUUUAAUAUGGGCUCAAUAAAUGUCCAUUUGAAUU